UCCACCUGCAUGACACCGGCGCAGAUGUCACUGAGCAAGAUGGAACGCUCUAGCUGGCACAGUGGGCUUUCUACCUGCGCACGAGGCUACACUUUGAGGAGUUCCAGGCUGCUGCACAGCACCGCAGUUAUUGACUCCGCCAAAAUCGGGGCGUGACUACCCGAUGUUCGUCUUUGUUAAUGGCUCCAGCGAGGACCACGAGUAUAGAGCGCAUCGCAGGAGCAGCCGGGAACACCUCCUCCAUAUAACGCAUUUAGACAAGGACGGUAAAGUGGUGCACGAGCCAGAGGAGUUUGUCUUCUUGUGAAUUCGUUUGAAACGAAAAAUGAGUUAUACCAAAAUGUAAAAUUAAUUGUUGCAGUUCGUGAUAUCAAUAUUUAUGUGAAAUUCAUGCCCGAAUCUAAAUGUAUUGACUAUUGUACAAUUGAUAAUUUAAUUCCAAAUGGGAACACAACAUAUUAGUAAUCAUAUAAAGUACUUAGUUAUGUAUGUAUGUAUGUAUAUAAGCAUGUUGUUAAGGGCUUGGACGUACAUAUCUGCUUUGAUGUGAAUGUAAAAUACUUGUGCAAGUUUUGCGCAAGUCUCGAACUAUUUAAUUUUGUAUUAUUCUUCCUUAUUGUUGCUACUUGAUGAGUAAACUAUUGAUUUUGGUUGGCUUUGACAGCA